GGAAUAGCCACUGGAAACGGUGAGUAAUACCGCAUACGCCCUUCGGGGAAAGAUUUAUCGGAUUUGGAUCGGCCCGCGUUAGAUUAGGUAGUUGGUGGGGUAAUGGCCUACCAAGCCUACGAUCCAUAGCUGGUUUGAGAGGAUGAUCAGCAACACUGGGACUGAGACACGGCCCAGACUCCUACGGGAGGCAGCAGUGGGGAAUCUUAGACAAUGGGGGAAACCCUGAUCUAGCCAUGCCGCGUGAGUGACGAAGGCCCUAGGGUCGUAAAGCUCUUUCAGCUGUGAAGAUAAUGACGGUAGCAGCAGAAGAAACCCCGGCUAACUCCGUGCCAGCAGCCGCGGUAAUACGGAGGGGGUUAGCGUUGUUCGGAAUUACUGGGCGUAAAGCGCGCGUAGGGGACUAUUAAGUCAGGGGUGAAAUCCCGGGGCUCAACCCCGAACUGCCUUUGAUACUGGUAGUCUUGAGUUCGAGAGAGGUGAGUGGAAUUCCGAGUGUAGAGGUGAAAUUCGUAGAUAUUCGGAGGAACACCAGUGGCGAAGGGGCUCACUGGCUCGAUACUGACGCUGAGGUGCGAAAGUGUGGGGAGCAAACAGGAUUAGAUACCCUGGUAGUCCACAC
rnacentral:rRNA from 1 species